GCCUAGUCAAAUCCAGUAACACUUUGCUCCAGACUAUAUUUCAUCCCUCUGCAGAUGCUUGGUCUUUAGAAAUGCAAGUCUUGAGUUGCAUAGUGUCAGGGGUUCAGAGAGAGAGGCACAGGGUAGGCAGGAGAUGGAGAGCGAGGGGGAGGAAUUCCAAGCCAGCGAGGAAGAGGAUGACAAUGACUCAAGAGAUUCCAUGAGUCUUUCCAGCGAAUCAGAGGAUUCCCAGAAGGGGGCGCCGGUGGUCAAGGCCAGGGGAGCCCCAGGGGGGAAGUGUCAGGAGCAGGGUGCCAGCGGAGGAUCCCAAAGUGGCAGCUGGGCGUCAGGACCAGCCUCCCCACCAAAGUGCAGUGAAGGGGGUGGAGUUUCCAGUGUGUCAGAGGAAGCAGCUCCAGCAGCAGAGAAAGGAGGGGGGUCAGAGCAAGCCGCCCUCCCG